GGGGAUAUAGCUCAGUUGGGAGAGCGCUUGACUGGCAGUCAAGAGGUCAGGGGUUCAAGUCCCCUUAUCUCCACCA
rnacentral:tRNA from 3 species